rnacentral:sRNA from 1 species
GCCAGGUGUGGUUUUGCGCACCUGUAGUCCUAGCUACUUGGGAGGCUGAGGUGGGAGAAUAGCUUGAGCCUGGGAGUUCCAGGCUGCAGUGAGCUGUGACUGUGCCUCUCCACACUCCAGCCUGGGCAACAGAGUGAGACCCUGCCUCUU